rnacentral:lncRNA from 1 species
ACAAGAAACGGAAAGCUACCUCUAGUUGUCGGAGCCGAUCUAUCAAAAUAGAAUACUGCUGCUGCUGUGACUUCAUCUGGUUGUGCAGUUCCAAAAGCUCAGUCAUCAUAAUAGACUCACAUUCCUUGACCACUGUUUCAUUCAGCCCCUCCUGCAGCAGCCGCACCCUCAGCUUCUCCGUGGACAACAAAACAUCAGACAUGGGACUAAAAUCAUUGCUCGUUAGUGAACGUGGGAAGCGAUCCUUUGCCGCUUGCAGAGCCUGUAUCCAGGCAUUCCUAUCUUCCUCAGUUUCACACCUCAAGUGUAACCUGGACCAUACCUUGAGGUGUAUCUCCCCGAACGGCUUCCACUGCUUCCCCGCCGCCGCGGCCUCCUCCCGCGCCCGCCGCAGCGCGCCACCCUCCCCGAUCACCCUCGCCGCCACCGCCGGCGACGCCGCGGAAUCACCGCCCCCUCCAACCCGGAGCUUGUAG